GACGAACGCUGGCGGUGUGCUUAACACAUGCAAGUCGAACGGUAAGGCCCUUUCGGGGGUACACGAGUGGCGAACGGGUGAGUAACACGUGAGUAACCUGCCCUCAUCUCUGGGAUAACAGUCGGAAACGGUUGCUAAUACUGGAUAUGAGCUUGCAAGGCAUCUUGUGGGUUGGAAAGAUAUUUUUUGGUUGGGGAUGGACUCGCGGCCUAUCAGCUUGUUGGUGAGGUAGUGGCUCACCAAGGCUUCGACGGGUAGCCGGCCUGAGAGGGCGACCGGCCACAUUGGGACUGAGAUACGGCCCAGACUCCUACGGGAGGCAGCAGUGGGGAAUAUUGCACAAUGGACGGAAGUCUGAUGCAGCAACGCCGCGUGCGGGAUGACGGCCUUCGGGUUGUAAACCGCUUCAAUUGUGACGAAA
rnacentral:rRNA from 2 species